rnacentral:lncRNA from 1 species
UUUUUUUGGCGUGGCAAGUUUCAAUAUGAAUCUGCCAUGCCAAUUUUCUUGUUCAUGGCCAAUUUAGCUUACGUGAAUUUCUCGUGGCGAGUUUUGAUAUGAAUCUGUCAUGGCAUUUUUCUUGUUCAUACUUGAUUUUCAAAUUUUUAUUUUUUUUCACACAUGGCAAAUUCAUCAUACAAACACACGGCAAUUCUUGAUACGAAUUUGCCAUGUCAAGUUUCUUGUUUCAUACUUGAAUCUCCAAUUUUUAUGUUUUUCACACAUGAUAAAUUCAUCUUACAAAACAUGGCAAUUCUUUGAUACCAAUCUGCCAUGGCAAAUCUCUUUUUGUUCAUACUUGAUUUUUUAACCUUUUGUGUUUUUUCUCACGCACGGCAAAAAAUCUCCUUGAAAACACUGCAAUUUUAAUUGCCAUUGUAUUUUUAUCUUUUUUUUGUCCUAUCAAUUUUUUGUGUUUUUUUCACAUGAAUUUUUCAACUAUUUGUGUUUUUUUUCACAUGGCAAUGUUGAUUUUUUGUCAUGGCAGAUUUGCCAUAUUUCAUUUGAGGGGAUUAAAUAUGUGUUUAUAUACCUUUUGCCAUUGUUAAAAACAAUACAAUGGCAAAUAGUUUGGUCAAACUUGAAUGGCAAUUUUUUUGCUUUUUUCAGUAGCUGAGCAAAAUCUGGGCUUUUUUUUGUCACAAAGAAAACCAAAAUCUGGGCCUUUUCAUUUAAUUCGUUGUCAGUGGGCCUUUUGUUCCUUUUUUUCACAUGGAAAAGGGCCUGGUGUGAUCGAGGCGUGUGGGGCUGUGGGUUCACCUUGACGAACGAAUUCGUGCAGGGAAUCAAUCCCCUCGUACUGAACGAGUCGUGUGGUAGGGUGCUCCUCCUGCCACACGUGUGGGCAGUUCUAAUAUCCGCCCACACAGGGCCGUGUGGGCUGCCUGCUGGAUAUGCCACACAGGGCCGUGUGGGCAGGUGUCCAUUGUACCACACGUGUGGCAGUUAUCGGCGUCUAAAGAAAAAGUCAAAAAAAUUGUAUGAUUACCUUUGAUUCAUAGGAUACAACUAGUUUGUUGUUUUCCGGAUUUGGGAGGCUCUUUUUCCUCAUCCCUUAUCUGUUCAAGUUGCAGCCGACAACCGUGGGUUCCUCCUCUGGCGGCGCCUUUAAAAUUUAAAGCUGAUAGGGUGUUAUGGCAUCUUCAAUGCUGACCCUCAAAUCCUUCGCGUCUUUUGUGAUAAUUCGGAUAUGUUUUGUCACUCAAUAUUAUUAGUUCGUGGACACGUUUGGACGUCCGAAUUCCAACAAAGUGAUAGCAAACCUGUGGGCUUUAGGGAGUCCGGACAUCCACCUAGCCAACCGAAGGCCACCAUGUAUACAUGCACUCCACCCCUCUCUCCUUAACCACGACAUGCACAUGUUCAAGAUUGGCAUCACACAACUUGCCCUUAUCUAUUCCGCACAAAACAUACAUGAGUAAUUACUCAUCUUGUCAAGAGAUACUUUAGCGAGUGCAGCUAUUUGGCUCCCGAGCUCAUCUGCUCCCGCAGUGAACAGUAAAUUCAGAAACAAUACUAGAAAAAUUAAAAAAAUCGAAAACUUUUUACAUGGAAGAUGCUCAAGGUGUGUGAGGUCUGCUCCAAAUUUCAGCUCUUUUUGACAUCUAAGUAGCUCUCGGCAAAAAGACAAAAUUGGGUUUGUGAAACAGUUUACUGUGCAUCUACUGUUCUGAUCCAAUUUGUCUUUUUUGCUGAGAGUUCCUCAUAUGUCAAAUGAUCUGAAAUUUGGAGCGGACCUAACGCACCAAAUCAUCUUCCAUGCAAAAAAAUAAUAUUUUUUUUGGAUUUUGUAAUUGUUUUUUUUUUCUCUUAACCGGUUGCAGAUGAGCAUGGGCUCAGAAAUGGAUAUUCACUCUACAAUUCUUAUCGCUACAAAGAUUAUACAAUCUGGGAUAGGUAAGCAAACAUCCCCGAUCCAGAGAUCUUACCAAAACCUGGUUCUCUCACCAUUGAAGAACUUUUUUUCCUACAAAACUUUAAAAGGACAUCUUUUACUUUCAUUAAUCCAAACCAGAAGUGGGAGUGCACAGGUUUCAAUUUACACCGAGAUAAAGUAACAUUACUAAGGUAUUUAAUCCUAAUUAAUUCCUACCAUAAACCCUCCUCGUUUUCGAGCUUCCACGGUAAUCUACCCCCUCUUUAAGGAAAUAUAAAAGCGUUUAGAUCACUAAAGUACUGAUCUAAACGCUCUUAUAUUUCUUUACGGAGGGAGUACUAAGUAGAUAAGUCUAACACCCCUGCUUUCUAGGUUGACAAAUCUCCUGCCAAUUAACUACCCCCUCCGUUCCUAAAUAUUUAUCUUUUUAGAGAUUUCAAAUGGACUACCACAUACGGAUGUAUAUAGACAUAUUUUAGAGUGUAGAUUCACUCAUUUUGCUCCGUAUGUAGUCACUUGUUGAAAUCUCUAGAAAGACAAAUAUUUAGGAACAGAGGGAGUAGAUGGUACUUCUUAAUAUUCUCAUCUUCCUGCCAAAUCAUUAUUUUCUCAUUCUCUUCCCAGGACCAAUGGGCAGAUCAUACAUAUAUAAAAUGUAUAAACGCACAUUACUAACACAAGAUCUACUCCCUCCGUCACAUAAUAUAAGACGUUUUUGUUUUUGCAAGCUAAAACAGCUUGCAGAAACAUCUUAUAUUGUGGGACGGAGGGACUAAGUAAUAAUAAUCUAUCGCCAGAACACAUCAGUUUCCCUUUCCCAGUUCCAGCUUUGUUCUCUACUUUUUCCUCUGAAUCUUUCCAAUCACUAUUUCUUAACUUUCUACACAAGUAAAUAUAGAUCUAUACUCCAAAACUCUAUCCUUAGCUUUACCCGACCAAAGGAGCAAUGAGACCAUAUUCUACAACUCUAUUAAUAAGUACCGAGAAGACAUCCACUACAGUGUUAAACAAUAUGGGGAACAGAGGGUCCCCUUGCCUCAAACCUUUUCUAGUGGGAAAAUAGGUAUGAAUAUUCUCACUGACCAUAAUAGCCACCUUACCAUCGUUAACAGUACUCAUAAGUCAUAACCCACUUUACAAAUUUAAUUGGGAACCCUUUCAUAACCAUCACCUUUUCUAAAAAUCCUAGUUAAUUUUGUCCUUUCUUAAAAUCAAGCUUGAAAUUAACAGCACUUCUUUUCUUAACUCUAAUCUCAUGAAUUAUCUCACGCAACAAUAGCACACCAUCUAAAAUAAACAUAUUUCUCACAAAAGCCGUCUGCGCAGGGGAUAUAAUCUUAUCAGCUACAACAACGGCUCUGCUUUGACCACAGUAAAAGUCGUAAAAAGAACAUUUAGCAAACAUAUAGGCCUAUAUCUUUGGAUCAUCAUUCCCUUUAGGCAACAAAGUAAUAAUGCCAUAGUUAAGUCUUCCUACAUCCAACUUUCCAUUAAAAAAAUCAUGAAACAGAGGCAUCAAAUCAUCACAACUCAAGUCCCAGAAAUGCUGGAAAAAGUCUGGGAAACCCAUCAGGACCUGGGGAUUUAUUAUGUUUCAUCUGGAAAACAUCAUGUUUUACUUCCUCAACUGUAAAAGGUUUGAUCAGCAACUGCUUAUCUAUAUCAUCAAGCACACAUUGUGAAGGAACAUCUAAAGAGACAUUAAUAACACUAGCCUCUGGACCAAAGAGCUCUCUAGGGUAUUUAAUGGCAUACUUAAGUAGUAUGUUAUCAUCCCCUACAAUCAAACCCUCCUCUUGUUGUAGAGAUAAUAAAAUCUUAUGUUUCUUCCGUUUUCUACCACUAGCUUUAGCCAUAAAAUAUUUAGUAAGAGAAUUUCCCUGGAGCAGGUCAGUGUCAUUUGACCUCUGAUACCACUUCACCAGCUCCUCCUUUCUAAUAUGUUGUUACUGCACAUCUAGAAUUUUUCUAGUCUUAUACUUGUCUACAGAUAAAGCAUAAUUUCACUCUCUUUGUCUAUAUCAUCGAUAGCAGUUUCCAAAAUUUUCUUCUGUUUUCUAUAAAAACUUUCAUAGUUAAUGUUCCAUUCUUUCAACUUUUUUGUCACUACUCUAGCUCUAUUCUGCCACUUAUCUAACUUAGUUGUAUCAAAAUGAAAUGCAUUCCAAACUUUGCUGGCCACCUCACUUAGAUGCUCUCUAAGAAACCAGCAUAACUCAAACUUAAAAGGCUUUACAAUUUUAGGGAUAUUUAAUGCCAAAUUAACAACUAAAGGCAAAUGAUCAGAGAUAGUUCAAGGCAAGAUUUUAGGAAACAUUUGCUCCUACCCAUUUACCAUUAUAAUCUUGUCCAAUUUGUUAAAUAAAGCAGAGCUAUGGUUAUUACACCAAGUAAAACAACCACCUGCAAUCUCCACCUCUUUACACUCACAAUGCUCAAUAAUAGUACUAAAAGAUUAGACCAUUUAUUUAAUCUCCUAGCCCGACUGCUAUCACUAAUUUUCCUAAUCAAAUUAAUGUCUCAUCCAACUAACAGAGGGAGCUCAUUACAAUAAAAAAUAUGCACUAGCUCAACCAAACAGGCUUCCUUGUCUCUUCCAUGAGCAGCCCCAUACACAGUAGCUAAAUUCCAUUUGUUAUUAGAGCUUUUCUCUCAAACUAUCAUUCUAGCAUGAAAAUCACCUGAUUCAGCUUCCAUUACUUCAAAGCAACCACUAUCCACUCCUAACAUAAUACCACCACUCAGUUCUACUGAUGGAACACAUACCCAGGAAAAAUUCUUUCUACCACUAAUAUUAUUUAACCAAUCAGCACCAUAACUAGUCUUCUUUGUUUCCUGCACACCUACAAAUAAAAUAUUAUGUUCUACAAUAGUUUCUUUAAGAAACUUUACUUUAUUAGCCUCCCCCAUACCUCUAGCUACAUUAAAACUAUUUUUCUUAGAGCCACUACAAAGCAAAUCUUUACUGCUCUUACCAGGACUAGCCUCAAAUAGAUUGCAUCUAGGUUCUUCUAGUUUCUUUAAAACUUCUACAGGUUGCUUAAUUUCCUUCUCAUUUCCACCGAAUUUAACACCCACAGUAGCAGCUAAACUUAAUACUUUUUCAUGUGCAGCAUUUAAAACUGUAGGAAAUAUUAAGGAAGUAGACUCACCAAUUGGAAAUUCCAAAUUCUUCACUUUAGCCCUGUCCAUUGCUUUCUCCAUUACAUGCUUAUUUGUGACAUUCCUGCUAGUCCUCCUCCUAUUCUCAUCCACUAUAUUAUCCUUUUCCUUGCUGACAUUUCUCAACACAGCUCCAGGCUCCACUUUUUUUGCUUGUAAGGACUGGUCUCUAUUUGAAUUUUCCUCCCCAAAAUCACCUCCAACCAGUUGCUAACCUAUAGCCUCCUGCUCCUCAUCAAGUCCUCUGUUUACCUCUGCAAUCACUUGUGUACUAAGCCCCAGUCCUCUUGCAAAGCUGUCAGGAUCAUCCUGCAUAUCCUGAGAGAGCCCCUGGUUAUUAGCACUAGAGACACUUCUUCCUCAGUAUCUGAGCAUUCCACACCAUCCAACAUUCUGGUAUCUUUUGCAGAUUGUUUAUUUAUUUCCUCGACUUCAGUUACCUGCUGCUGUCCCAGCAUAUUUUUUGUUUUGUAACAUUUUUUGUCCUCCUUUCUUCCACAGUGAAUACAAAACAGGACAGUUUUACACUCUUUCACUGCAUCUACGUGCCUGGGUUGAGCACAGCGAAAACAUCCAGCCUUCUGCCCCUCUUCAUUACCAGUACCCCCUGAUGCUUGUGGUUCAUACAUAACCUAUCACCUAACUAGUGCAUCCUUAGUUACUGCCUCAUUGUACUGACCACAGCUAGCAACAGAAAUCUAAAAUAUCACUAAUAAAUAUGUUGAAAUGGUUACAGUAGACACAAGGACGGCUAGAAAAAUGCACGGGUUUAGUAGAUUCAUAAAUGUUUAAACUAUCCAUGAAACAGGAAAGAAAAAAAAAUGUUAACAGAGGGAAUGAUACAUCGCCAUGUUGCUUUGAGGCUGCUGUCCAACAAGUUGUGCCACUCGGUCAGGGAUUGAUAAUACGAUUACAAUUUCACAUUAAAUGGUAAAUCGAUCCACUCAUUCAGAAUUUUUAACAAACAAUUAGAACUGACAACCGACUAAUAAUAAACUAAUUUGGGAGAACUUCCAAACACCUACCGCACCAAAUCACCGACAACAUGUUCAAUCAGUGUAAUACACAUACACAAACCAGACAAACAAGACAAU